CCCCUAUGCUAUGUCCAGUAACUGCAACGACAUGGCCUCUCUGUUUCAAGCCUUGGACCAUAUGAAGUUUAUCCAAAGUAGAAGCUCGUGCCAUCACACGGAUUGUGCCACAUUUCUCUUUUAUCUCUGUUUCUGCAUUACUUUGCAAGCUUUGACGGUCCACUAAUUCUCCUGUUGUCUCAUCUUGAGUUGGAUUAAUAAUACCACAUUCAAUGGCUAUGGCUCGAGCGGUGGGAAGAUCAUUUCUUGUGACUAGUUUGAUGCUCACUCCUGCUUUCUGGCAGUCCAUCACAGCCUUUUGUACCUCUGGCCGACAUGGGUAUUUCAAGCCUAGGCAACCUAUGAAAGCUGAGUGUUCUUCUGACACUUCUUUAUGUGCAAAUGCUACGCACCUGAGACCCUUAGACUUCAUCUCCUGAAAUCUUUGCUUCAAGUUUUUUUUUUCAUCAAUAGACAUAUGUUUGAUGCUCCCGGCUUCAUCAUAAUAAUGUGAACACCUGGCCAAUAUGAUUUCUGGUUGGCCUUUGUGGUGCACAUGAAUAGUAUCACUGGUAUUCCUCUUGAUCCAUAUGCUACUUUGAGUGUUCUCAUAAUUGAAGAUUUCUGGACUGUGAACGGCACAAUUUGCUCGAACUUGUUCAACAGUGACGUCUACAUCUUGAACACUCCAUGCCUGAAUUGCGCUGUGAACUUGACUCUCAAUAAGUUCAAUGGGAGAUCCUGAUGAGGCUUCAGUGCUUCUCAAAAGCAUACCUUCACAGAGCAGUCCACGAACAUUUCUUGGGAUGAUUGAGGAAGUUCCUGCAUUGAGAAGCUUGUUGCCGAAACAAAUUUCGCUUACUAUCAGAUGAUUCAAGGUAAGACUUCCUCUUUCAUCUGUGCAGAUUACAUCUGCAGAACCAACUGCUUCACAGGCUGAAAGAUUUCUUACUAGUGCCUUUUGAGAUGCCAUCCUUUUGGUUGAGUAAGCAAUGGUUAUCAUGACAGCUAGGAGCAGACCUUCAGGGAUGGCAGUUGCAGCAAUAGCAACUGGGGUGGCUAGGAUCCCUAUCACAUCAUUGCAGACUUUAUGGAUAUUUGUCUUCCCUGCAGUGGUGAAGUCUGAUUUUCCAUCCUCAUUCCGCAUAUUCCCGACAAAGUAACGAACAAGCAGUACUACCAGCACCAAGGAAGCAACCAUUAAACCGACUAUAGAUAUUUGUAUGGUCAGCUGACGUAGCUUCCUUUGUAAUGGAGUUCUUUCCUCAAUAUCAUAUCUUUUUGAGCUCAGCAUCUUCCCCCAUUCAGUGUUGAUGCCGACUGCAGUCACAAGCAUUCGAGCAGAACCGUUGAUCACCUUCGAGCCAGAGAGAAAGAAUGGAUUACAGCUUUCAUUGAUUUCCACUGAUUCCCUCCCUGCUGCGAUGCAUGACUCGUCCACCUGUAAAGGGUUCCCAUCUAUGAAUAAGCCAUCAGCAGGAACUUGGUCUCCAGUCUUCAAACAAAUAAUAUCUCCAACAACGGCUUCAAACACUGAGAUGCGCAUCUGUUGCCCAUUUCUGAUCACAAAGACGGAGAAGUUGUCACGAGCUUUCCAUAGCUUAAAGAAUUGUCUUCUUGGCCAGAGUUUACUCGAGGCAGUCACCAUGAUCACAAGAAUGACAGCGACAAAUAUGCUUCCCCCAUCAGACCCUCCUCUCAGCCCGUGACGUGUUAUACCAAAACAGACUGAAAGUGUUGCACAGACAAGUAGGAUAAUAAUGAUGGGAUCUCUGAAGGUCUCAAGCACAAUGGGUAAAGUUUUUGGAGUUGGCUUCUGGAUAGUGUUUGAACCAAAGUUAUGGCGCCUACGUGCAAUUUCCUCAUCAUCACCUUGGAUACCGCUUCCAACAUCAGAUUUGAGAUAUAAGGCAACUCCUGGAACGCCUCCAAGCUGAUGAAGCUGCUCGAUGUUUUUGCGGCGGGCAAGCUCAGAUAGGCAUUGUGGUAUGAUAUAAAUAACUGUAUCAGGUGGAGAUGGCAGAAGAUUGUCCAACAGCCCACUGUGGUUUUCAUCUGCAUUAUCCCUUACAGAAGGGAAGCUGCCAUGGCUCCGGACAUUUUUGAAGGCCCUUGAACAAUAUAUGGUCAGAAAAGCAGAGCCCCAUUUCCUUUUGCUUUUGUCGAGUUUACUAAGGUGCAUAACCAGGUUAAUGCAGGACAAAUUUGCAUGAACUAUUGAAGGCAUAUUUUCGAAAGCCAAUGAUAGCUGCUAAGAAACAGAAUGUUGAGAUUUUCUAUCUCACACAAGAUAAAAAACAAGGUUCAGAAAUCGGAGGGAGAUAACGGUACGAGAGCCAAUGUACAAGGUGGAGAGAAAAUAAAAGCUAAGCGUUCACGAUCAACUAAUUUGAUUAGCUGCAUGAAAAGAUUUUAGAAAAACUGUUUGGUGCACGUUUGGGUGCUGCCUCUAUGUAGUAUUUAUAGCAGCAUAUGGUGUGAACCGUCAUGCAUGAACCAUCACAAUCAAAGCGUUCAAUCACAGCCACCAUGCCUCAUCUUCUAAGCAAUUCCCAACAAGAAGCAUUUAGACCCCAAACCAAAAAGUGCCAUUAGCGUGUCUUAGAACCAGGAUAGAUUUACAGCGUCAGUUUUACGUGUUGGGAAUGUGUACACGUUAAAAGAAAAACGCAAGGCCAUUGCCAGAUCUUCAUGUGUUACCAAUCAAGCAGAAGUUGGCCAACUCUCUGCCCUUCCCAUACCAUAGAUGUUGCUGUUUACCGAUUACCGACAUCUACAUUGACGAAAACUCCAACUUUCUCAUCGAUCUUGGCACAUAAUUUGUUUAAAUAAAAAAAGUUUAUUUAACAUAUGGUACAGAACUGGCUUGACGAGGCAACGGACACAGUAUCCCUAUACUCGGAGCCGGACUCACACGAACUUGUUAUGUCAAUUCGAGUUCAAGUUUUGACCGGAUCGACUCGUCGCGACCUUAUAGAUGUCCAUAGAAUUCAAAAAGGAGAUAACAUACAGAACAAUCAAGACAGGCAAGUUUUUUUAUCAAGUUUAUCUAUUACAAGUUUUUUAAAAGCUUUAUAAAGUUACACUGACCUUAAAAAAUUUCUCAAAACUUUUAAACUAUACAUUUAAAAAUAUUUAAAAAUUUAUACAGUUCAAAAAUUUUUUUAAAAACUUCUACAGUGAAAUUUUAGACAAAUAAUCAAAAAAUCCCCUUGCCCAACGGAGCUUUGGUUUCUUUAAAACUCACUUGCAAAUUCCAAAGAGAGUGCUGAUGGUUGUGGAUAUACGAUACAGCAGCACACGUAAGUGAAGAUGAUGUAAAGGACACGUAAGUGGAGAUGAUGUAAAGGGUUGGACGUAGUUUUAGUGUUUCAGCAUAGGUGGUCAAAGAAACGGACUUUCAACUCCUAGGAAGAUUUUGGAGCGUACUUAAUUUCUACUCCUAGGAAGAUUUGUUAAAGAUUUUGCGUAAACAAGAAAAUAUACGAGUACUUAUAAGCUAGUUACAUACAACUUUGGGUGGUAGUUAACAUAAUUUAAAAAUCAAAACUAAACAAAAAGAAAAAAAGUUUUUUUUUUGGAAUAUGGUUGGAUGUUUUACUUUUUAAUGUAAUGGUUUUAAAAAAAACCUUCAAAAGAUGACAGAAAUAGAAACAGCAUAAGGGCUUUCCUUCAUGCAUUAUAUAGUAAAAUUUAGAUAUGUCAUCUAGGGAUAAAAGUAAAUAGGAAGGAGGACAGACAAAAGAUGACGUCUGCGACUAGGAAAUAAAUUACUUAUAAACAAAUAUGUAUGAUCUAUAUAAUUAUUUAUAUUAUAGGAAAUAAAUUACUAGGAGAGUAUUAUCUUAUAGUUGACAAAAUCAAAUGAAGAAACUUAUUUACACACACAUUGAUUUAUUUAUAUUAUCAACAUAUUUUUUAAUUAUUUUUUUAUUUUACAUACACCACAUUAAAAAAAGUGUUACAAUAUUUUUAAAAAAAAAAUUAUUUCAAAUAAUCUCUAUCCAAACACGCUUGACUUUAUAACAAAGGCAGAAGAAGAAACGCGUUGUCCUGUUGUAACAUACAUCUUACUGGAAGUAAUUUUUGCUAGGUGGUUAAUGUUGUAAUGGAGCACGCCUACUCUGACUCGCCGAGCAUUUGAUUGUCUUUACUACUCCUUUGAAGGUUAGGCCAUGGGUGACAACGGAGGAAAGCAAAGAAUGUCGGCCACGCGAAUUAUAAUCCUCUGUUCUAGUUAUACAGUCCGGUGUCGGCCAACAUAUACACACAUAUAUAUAUAUAUAUAUAUAUAUAUAUAUAUAUAUAUAUAUAUAUAUAUAUAAAGAAGGCCAAUUACGUAAACCUCCGGCCACUAGUCCUUUGAAUUAGUGAUCACCGCCAACACUUAAAUUUUGAUGGCGUUAAGAGAUCGAGAAUUCAACCAUUACAGCAUAUCAAAUCAUCAUUACACGCGACCGUCUUCCGUAACUUUCUUCGAUGAAGUUUCUAUUCCCUUUCUUUAGAUUAAAAUAAAUUAGAUUAUAAAAAUAUUAAAAAGAAAAUUACAUAAACCUCCGUCUCACUUAAUACUCAAGUUUCCCUUUCUUUUCGUUUGCUCUGACUUAAACUGCCGAUUUCCUAAACGCAAUCGCAAAUGAAUGAAAAUCUCCUCCCCUUUUCGUGUGGGGGCUGUAAAAAAAGCCUCUUUCCAAGAAUUAAAUACAAAUUUGUUACAAGCUUUCGAAGCCAGUGGCAUGAUUUCAAGAAUUAAAUACGAAAAGGGACUUUCUUUUUUUUUUCUUCUUCUUUUGCAAAAAAAAAAAAAAAAAAUCAAAUGGUUUCUUUCAAUUAGAUACUUGAUGAUAUCCGCUAUCAUAUUUGCCCAUUGCCCCCGUUCACAAAAUUAAGAGGCCAAGCUAUGCUUUUGAAGCUAAUGGAAUGAAAAACACCAUCCACACUGUGUUGCUUGCUACUUGCCAAUGCACCACCGCCACCAAGAAUCAACGGCCUACAGCCUACUAGUCAAUGAAGACGGAUCACGCUAUGUGCCCCCAUAAUUAACAACCUUGCAGGCAACAAGAGGACCACAAAUAAAUGCAUGUGCUGCGGUGCAACCAUGCUCGAACGCCUUACUUUUUCUUUCAACAGCAGCAAGAAACACACACACACACUAACCUAAAGCUAAUCCAUAGCACUACCCAAAAGGCUAACUUUUGGAUAGCACUGAGGCCCUUAAGUAGUGAAUACACACAUCACUCACAACCGAUGUGGGAUAGGGAGUUGGGGGAAAGGGAACACCGACUCUAUUGGGAAACCCUCAGUAGCUUUUACCUCUCCUGUUUUUCUUUUUCUUUCAACAGCAGCAAGAAACACACACACACUAACCUAAAGCUAAUCCACAGCACUACCCAAAAGGCUAACUUUUGGAUAGCACUGAGGCCCUUAAGUAGUGAAUACAUACAUCACUCACAACCGAUGUGGGAUAGGGAGUUGGGGGAAAGGGAACACCAACUCUAUUGGGAAACCCUUAGCUCGAACGCCUUACUUGAUGUCUAAUUUAUAUAUCCUUUUCUUUUUUUUGGGUGUCAGGGGGACUUUUUAUGAGAUACUCUUAAUUAGAGGUGUCAAAAUAGAUGAUUUGGACGGUCGGAUUUGGAUUGGUUAAAAUGGAUAAUAGGUAUAAGUGAGUCAAUUCAUUUAUACCAAUUUAAUUAGAUGGGUAUAAAUGGAUAAGUCAAAAAAUGAAAUGGAUAACCCAAUUACCCAUUUAUAACCUAUUUAUUUUAAUAUUUUGUAAAUUCAUUUAAAUUCAUUUUUACAAACUAAGUUAUUAAUGUAUACCACUCUUUACACCAAUCAUUAAUUUUAAAUAUUUACUUAAAAUUCUCAAUAAGCCUAAUUACCAAUUUUUUUCCAUCUCUAUCCAGAGUUUUGGUUCCUGGCAGUUGUUAUGGGGAUAAGACAUUAAUGAUUUCACCAAUCUUAUUAUGUUUUCAUCGUCAGCAGGAAAGUCGCUGUCUUUGUACGAUACCCCUCGUCGUCACAACAUCACUAUAUAUAUAGCGUCAGCUUCUACGACUCAUGCAUCAUGGAUCUGCAGGCCUCAACAUACGGAAGUUUCUGUGUAUAAUUCUGCUGGUUGAUUAACAUAUUAUGUAAUUAAGGUGGCAUUGCUAACUUUCAAGCUUUUUAUUUGUUACAGAAAAAAAUCCCUUUCCUUGUUCGCAAAAUUCAAUUCGGUUAGAAUGAACAUUAAACAAGUAAUCAUGAGACCUCUGAUUCAACUCUUCAAUUUUUCACUUUCUUUGCUCCCCUUAUAAGGUUUAAAAUUUUCCUAAAACAACAACGACAACAAUAAUAGGAGUAGUGAAUGACCCCUUUUCUUCCUGGAUGACAAUACUGCAAAUUCUUGCACUAAAGGAAUUUUUGCCGAUGCCUCGAAGGAAUUACUUGCUCAUAAUGGGACCAAUCAUCUUGGAAUCAUUAGGCACUAUAAUAUGACUUCUUUGAAAGUGUAGCAACUUAAUUACGACUUCUUCAAAUAUAGCUAUCGACUGGCCUUUGAUGAAUUCGUGUUGGAGCUGUCGCAGUAGCAAGGAUUCUUAAAAAGUUUCACUACUUUGAUUGGCCCAAAAAAAAAAAAAUAUAUAUAUAUAUAUAUACACACACACACACGACUCAUAUUACAAUUUGGAUGCAAAGCUAUCUUUUUGACUAUCUUUAAACAACUUGGCAGCUUAUGUUAAGUCUGAGAUCACAACUCUGUCAUAUGUUUAGGGCCAUUUAGAAUGCUAUUUUUUGAAGUUUUUAUUGAAAAUUGUAGUAUGGCGAUUUGAUGUAUGUCAAUGACUGAGCCAAGGGGGGCCGAGGGAGUCAUAGUCCUUUCUAAGUUUUGAAAAUUUUAAUGCGUAAUAUGGAAAUAUAUGUGUAAAACAAAGUUGACCCUCUUAAUUUUUUACAAUGUUAGUUUAUAUUAUGAAAUUUCAAAAGCCUAAAUAUAUGAUUUGAUGAUAUAGUAAAUUGACCUAUUUUGAUAUAUUAUAAUAAAGCGACCUAAUACAUAAUUAUCAAUGGGUUAAAACAAAAAUAAUUACUUUAUUGGCGCAUAUAUAAAUAUACAAUUUAAUCCAAUUGAUUAGAUUUGUUCCCACUCAUCUUCCUGUAUCAACUGCAACUACAGAAUGGGUAUUUCUGAUUAUGAAGAUAAUCAAGACAAAAGCUCCGAAAUAAGCUCAAAGAUAAUUUAUUGAAAGAUUGGCUAACUGUGUACAUAGAAAAGAAAGUUGUUGAAAAAUUUAGUAUUGAUUUAAUCAUAGAUGAAUUUAGUUCUAUGAAAGAAUGUAAAUCUCAUUUUACUUUUAAGAAAAGAGGUUCAAAUUUCAAGGUAUGUGAACAUAACAGCUAUCUUUUUUUAAUUGAAAAUAGUCAUUUUGAUAUUACAUAGUUAUAUAUAUAUAUAUAUAUAUAUAUAUAUAUAUAUAUAUAUAUAUAUAUUGCACAUAUUGGAGCAUCUUAUCAUAAUGUGUAACUUGGGUAGUUUGUGAUGUUAUAAAAUAUUUAAUCAAAGGUUAUUUCUUGUCUUAAUUUUUGUUAUGACUAUGCUGUGUAUUAUAAAAUAGAAAUACCUUUAUAAUUAAUGUUAACAUUUGAUGUUUUUAGAUGUCAUAUAUUUGAAUAGAUGAAAAUUAUUUUGAUUUUUAGAUGUCAUAUAUUUAAAUAGAUGAAAAUUAUUUUGAACAUAACAUAUUAAGAUAAUUUUGUUAGGAAAAAUUUUGGCCCCCUAGAAAAAAAGUUUUGGCUCCGUCACUGUUGCAAGGGAAGUAAAAAAGUGAGUGAAAAAAGUUUAAAAAAAAUGCCUUCAAUUGCGGAUUGAAUACGGAAGUUUCCUAGGAAUUACGCUGAGGUAACAGAACCCUUCCCUAGCUUUAGUUUCCUUUUAGCACAAGUUUUCUUGGCUCGAAUGAAAAUUUGACUUGUUUUCCACCUAUGCUUAUCAUGUCAAUGCAUACUGUUGUCUCAUCCAAAUUUGCUUCAUCUCAUGUUAAUUUCAAGGGAUAAUUUCAGAAACCUCUCCUGAGGUUUCUUGAAAUAUCACUAAGCUCCCCUCACAUUUUGAAAAUCUCUCUUACCACCUUUGAUUGAUUGCGGGGUCAGAAGUCACACUGAAAAUUCAUCAGUUACCAAUAAUACCCUUGUAUUUGAUGUGCUCUUAUGCAUCAGUCACACUAUUAUUUGUACCUGUGCCAAGUACUUAUAUGCAUUCCCAGUCCCAAUGAACGACUAAGGGUCCGUUUGUUUCGGGUGAAAAUGUUUUCCAGGAAAAUAUUUUCCUAAUUUCCCGUGUUUGGUUGCACAAAAGUUACUGAAAACAUUUUCCUAUGUAAAAUAUUUUCAUUCAUCUUAUGGAAAACAACUUCCCUUCCCAACUUCCUGAAGUUGUUUUCCGAAAUGCAUGCAUCUUGCCUGUAGUAUGUUCCAAACUUACUGAAAUCAUCUUGCAGUAUGUUCUUUUUUUUUUUUAGUGUAAACAGGAAGACUCGAACCCAAGACCUCUUCCUUACACUCCCUCCCCCGUACCACCCAACCCUCCCCCUAGUAUAUUCAAAAUAAAAAAAAAACCUCAUCCUGCUCAUCCUAUGCUAGUAAUUAAUUAUGUAUAAUAGGGACAUUCUUUUCUAGAGAAACUUUCAGCAGUGAGAGUGCAAGAUAUAUGUCACAAUAAGCAUUGCAUGUGAUUGAUAUUUGACACUAAAUGACCAGCAAUUUAUUUAUUUGCUUAAGGAGAUAUUUUUUAUUCAUAUAUACCUUUCUCCAAGAUUUUUUAAAGUUAAACAAUGAGAUAAAUUUUCUUAUUUUGCAUGGGAAGAAGUAUGUAGUUAUAAUGUGUAGAAAGUAAAAAUAGAGAUAAAAGUGAAAAUAUUUCAAAAGUUAAACAAACACCAGAAAAAUGAAGUAAGAAAAUAUUUUCAAUAAGCUAACCAAACGCCUGAAAAUGAUGAAAGGGAAAUGAUUUUCAUGGAAAAUUACUUCCACGGAAAAUAUUUUCCCAAGGAAAACAUUUUACUUCCAACCAAACAGACCCUAAAAGACAUAUGUUUUGGUACUUGCUUGGGAAUUGCAAUUUACUCUUGCCAAGUAUGCUAUGCUUCUAUCCACAGAUCUUGGAACAUGAUGACUUACUACCAUGAUUUGUAUGGAAUUUGCUAACUCGAACCGGAAUGCUGUGCUUUUUGUCAACUCUAUGACUCGGAUUCCUUACCAUUAUGUAUGGAAUUUUAGUUGUUGUUUUCCAAUGAACUUAGCAGUAAAAUAUUGUUGUACUUGAGGAAAAUACCACCUGUGUGCUUUAUGAAGUUUUCUGUAAUGCAAAAAAUCUGGGGGGCAUUGGUAUGAACUAUGAAGUAACAAAUCUCGCAGCUUCAUUGAUUGGAAGACUGCUGAGCUAAUUAGGCAUAUUGUUAGGUAAUCCUUAAAAUUUCGAAUUUAGGGUUCAUGAAAUGGAUGCAUUUAAUUAAGUAACUAAUUAAACUAAUUAAAUUACCUGCGAGUAUUACUUUCACAUAAUUAAUUUAUGUUAAAUACAAAACCUACCAGUUUCCCUUUUGUAAAAAUAUGAAUGUAAUACUUUUUGAAUUUUACUUACAACCAUUUCUAUAUUUAAUAUAAAUUAAAUGAUUUAGAGUAAAAUGUUCAUAAAUAGUUAUUACUUUGUUCGUGUAAUAGAGGAAACCCGUGAAGAGCUGACAUGUCAUGGGCAAUUUCUUUUUUUUUUUUUACUUUCACGUAUUUAAUUUAUGUUAAAUACAAAACCUACUAGUUUUCCUUUCGUAAAAAUAUUAGUAUAUCACUUUUUAAAUUUUACUUACAAACAUUUAUGUAUUUAACAUAAAUUAUAUGAUUCAGAGUAAAAUGCCUAUAAAUAACUAGUACUUUAUUCAUCUAAUAGAAGAAACCCGUAAAGAGCUAGUAAAAAGUGGGUAAUUUCUUUUUUUGCUUUCACGUAUUUAAUUUAUGUUAAAUACAAAACCUACUAGUUUCCUUUUCAUAAUAAUAUCAGUGUAACACUUUUUGAAUUUCACUUAUAAACAUUAAUGUAUUUAAUAUAAAUUAAAUGAUUCAAAGUAAAAUGCUCAUAAAUAGCUAAUACUUUAUUCAUAUAAUGGAAGAAACUUAUAAAGAAUUGGUAUGUUAUGGACAAUUUUUUUUUACUUUCAAAUACUUCAUUUAUAUUAAAUAGCCAACAUGCUAGUUUUCCUUUCAUAAAAAUAUUUGUGUAACGGCUUUUGAAUUUUAUUUGCAAAUAUUUAUGUAUUUAACAUAAAUUAAAUGAUUCAGAAUAAAAUGUCCAUAAAAACUUGGUACUUGGUUCAUGUAAUAGAGAAAAGCCAUAAAGAGUUAGUACUUUAUGGGAUAUUUCUUUUUUAAAAAAAAUUUAAUUUAUGUUAAAUAGAUAACCUACUAGUUUUUUUUCAUAAAUAUUUAAUUUAUGUUAAAUAGCGUAUUUUCGAAAUGUGUUUUUUUGGUGACAUCAAAAAAUGCAUUCUACUAAUGCGUUAUUUAACCAAUUUUUCCUAUUUAAAUAAAUUUAUGAAAAUUAAAAUAAUGUAUUUGAAAAUUACAUUUUUAUUUGGAAGAACGCAUUCUUUGGAUACAUUUUUCACCCUUUGGAAAGAGAUUAAAAAAUCGCCACCCUUUGGGAAGUUAGUUUGAAAACUCCCUCUUUUUGGGAAUUUACUCCUCCAUCUGCCUUACUUUUCUAGCGGACACCCUCACCUUUUAAUACCGCUGGAAGCACUCAAAGUAGCCGUUGCAUGUCCAACGGUCAUGCAACAGUGCUCAUGCCCGAAAAAUACUCUCCAAUUCACAUUUUCCACCUACUGCAACUUUCUUAUGUCAUUGCUAUCAGUCAAACUAAGGGUAUGAAGGGAACUAAAAUACUCUCCCUCCUCCAAAAUGCAUUUUCUAUUGUUACUUUUGCUUAGAGGGGCUAACAUUGUUAAAAAAAUGUCAAUUCAGAGGGUGGUAAGAGAGAUUUCCAAAAUGUGGGGGGAGCUUAGUGAUAUGUCAAGAAACUUCAGGGGAGCUUUCUGAAAUUAUCCCUAAUUUCAAUUCAUCUACGGUCUCAAUACAAAAAAAAUAUAAUUCUACAUAAAGUGUAGGAUCAUUUCGUACUGAAUUUCCAGCAAAUUUGUUCGAGAAAAACCUAGCUGGGGAAAUUUACAUGCUUCUCAUUCUUAAAGGUUAACAACAUAAUUAGUUCUUGAGAAAAAAAGAACAAAUCUUGAAAGUUGUUUAGCCCAAUUAUACACAGUUUCCCUGUUCUUUUAUCUCCCUUAACAUAUACUACUAGCAUACAUAAAUUGCAUAGCCAGUUUAACUUAGUAAUGGAACUUCAAUUUGCCCAUUAUAAGUUUUAAUUUUGGAUCAAUCUUUCCAACACUGUCAACGUAUACACUAACAGAUUUAGAUACAUGUCACAUUAUCUCAAUUGAAUUUAUAUAUGUAGCAUGCAUCUAAAUCUGCUAAGAUAAUAUUCACCGUGUACAAAACAUUUAUCCUUUAAUUUUUCCAUUUUUGUCUUAAAGUUGUUGUUCCUUGAAAUUCUGUAAUCGCGUGGUGGCUACCUCUUCUUCGCUACAUAUCAAUGGGCUUGGGUUUGAGAAACAUCUCAGUCUUUAGACGUCCAAAAUGAUUUGUCCAAGUCAUUGAACCACGUUGGGCCCAAAUUCGUCAAUUUGACUUAUGGAUAUUUGCAGAAAAUCAUUAGUUUGCUUAUGAAUAUUGCGAAUAGCUCAAGAAGUAAGAAUUUGUAAUAUGUAUCCCAAUGUUAUAUUAUAGUGGAGUCUAAUCAUUUUCUAAACUAACAAAUCAGCAUAAACUACUACGAAACUUUGUGAUAUUGCAACUUGCCUGCUGUUUUCCUAAUAACAAUAGUAGAAGUUGUUUGAUUUAUUGGUAAGUGUAAAUAUUGAACUCUGCAAGAAUUUACUACAAAAAGUACAUUACAGAAGCAAACUACAGAAGAUAUUAAAACGAAACUUUGAGCACACUACUCCAUUUUACAUGCAUUUGAAGCUGUUGUUUUUUUGGAAAAAAAAAAAAGCUUAUAAGAGACUUGUAUUGAAUCUUAAAAUGAGUUUAUGCUAUUCAUUCAUCAAAUCACUAUUUACAAGCAGCAAACUAACAAAAUAUCCGGCUAACAAUUAUCCUAAAAAUCUUAACAAAAACUACGUACUUGAUAACAAAUCAAUAUGAUUUUUUGGUUAACAAAUAUUCUUAUUCUUCUGCUAGUAAAAUCUAUAGGAAAAGUUGACAUACUUCAACAGAAUUUCUUCCACUUGAGAUAGCUGAACACUGGCCUGUCCGGAACAGGGAUGCACUUAACAAUCCAGCCAAUUGGCCAGGAUGCAGCUGCAAUUCCUAUACAAGCUCCCCAUUGCCCCCAAUUCAACCUCUCUGUAUUAGCAAAUCUCUUCAAAAAUUCCACCAUCACCACUUGAAGAAUAAUUGUUACUCCAAUAAUUCCCAAGAACAACUUGUUCCUGUGUAUCCCCUCAAACACAUUCUUACUCUCAAGUUUCCUUGCGUUGAACUCAUUGAACACUUGGCAAAGAACAAAAGUGUUGAAGAUCAACGUAGCGUUUACCUUUUCGCUAACACCAAAGAUUGAUUUUCCUUUGAACUGUAAUGUCAGCAAAACUGCUAUCUGAUACAAGGCUUGAGACAUUAAGUUCCUCCACAUGAUGUUGGUGAUGAGGGGUUCAGUACGCCCCACUGGAGGCUUGUCCAUGAGAUCCUUUGUUGGUCUCUCUGUUGCUAGUGCUAAGGCUCCAAGAGUAUCCAUGAUGAGAUUUACCCACAAGAGUUGAACUGCUGUUAAUGGUACUUCUCCAGCUGAAAUUGCUGCUACAAAGUUGAUCACUAGAGCUGCCACAUUCACUGUGAGUUGGAACUGAAUAAAUUUCUGGAUAUUGCUGUACACACAUCUUCCCCAUGUAAGCACUGUGGCAACAGAAGCAAAAUUGUCAUCCAAAAUGACAAUAUCUGAACUCUCCUUGGCUACUUCAGUGCCCUGAAUCCCCAUAGAAAGUCCUAUAUCAGCUUCUUUCAAUGCUGGCGCGUCGUUUGUUCCAUCUCCAGUCACCGCUACAACAUGACCUUUCUCUUUUAAGCAUUUCACCAUGAGAUGCUUGUCAAAAGGAGACGAUCUCGCCAUUACAACAAUUUUAUCAACUUUUUCCAUCCGUUCCUCAUCUGUGUAGUUGCGAAAUUCAACACCCUCUACCACCAAUUCAUCGUUAGCCUCAAGAUCGGGCUUAAGUAUUCCACAUUCAGUGGCUAUUGCUCUUGCAGUGAAGACAUUGUCGCCAGUGAUCAUUUUGAUCUUCACACCAGAGUAUUGACAAUCUUCCACAGCUUUCUUCACACCGGGGCGACAGGGAUCUUUUAGGCCUACAAUCCCCAAAAGGAUCAAGUUUCUGUCUUCUAAUGUUUGCUGUAUUUUUCCACUGGCAUCAUCGGCUUCUGUUAUUUGCUUGUGAGCAAAUGCAAUGCAUCUGAGACUGCUGGCAGCCAUGCCCUGUAUUAUUUCUUCAAAUUUCUUCCUCUCAAGAUGAUCAAGUAAUGUGACUUCUCCUUCAAGAUUGUAGUAAUGCGAGCACAUUGCUAGUAUCAUUUCAGCAGCUCCUUUCCAGUGGACAUGAGUCGAGUUAUCCACCAUUUUCUUCAUCAACACUCCACUUCUUUUCUUCUGUGAAUUGAAUGCUUCGACAUGAAGAAUGGAGCAAUUUUGUUUUACUCGUUCCAUGUCCAUAUUUAAUUCCAUCACAGCCCAAGACAGAAUUGCUUUCUCAGUAGGACUUCCUGAGAACUCGAGGCCCUUUGUUCCUAAAUUAAUCGACCUAUAAACACUUCCUGUUGUGUUUAGGCUCACAGCUUCACGAAGCAAUUUAAGAACAUUGGUUGAGAUAGAAAGGUAGCUAUCUUUCUCUACUGAUUCCUUGCCCAGCCAAAAUUUUGUUACUGUCAUUCUAUUUAGAGUAAGAGUACCUGUUUUGUCUGUACAGAUGGUUGUAGCAGAGCCCAUUGUUUCACAAGCAGAAAGCUUUCUCACCAUUGCUUGAUCAGCCAUCAUUCUCUUCAUCGAGUAAGCAAGUGUAAGUGUUACAGCCAGAGGCAAACCUUCUGGAAUUGCAACAACUACAAUUGUUACGGCUGCAGCAAUAAUUUUCACCACAGCAUUGAUCACAUCAUCAGCCUUUGUUUUGCUGCCAUUGUACUCCUUGAUUCCAUUUGCGUCCUUUGUAUGACCAGUGAAGUAGCGAACUAAUAGCACCAAAAGAACUAAGAAAGCAACUGCUAAACCAACUUUACCAAUUGCUGAAGUUAGCUUAUUGAGGCGCGAUUGAAGAGGAGUUUUCUCAUUGGAGUCCUGGCUAACAGAGCUCAUCAUUUCCCCCCAAGUUGUGUUCAUUCCAACAGAAGUAACAAGCAUCUGACCAUAUCCAUCGGCUACUUUGGUACCAGAAGUCAAGAAUGGAUUCUGGUUUUGAUUAACUUCUAGAUGAUCACUUUCUCCAGUCAUGCUUGAUUCAUCAAUGCGUAAGGAAUGCCCCUCCAAGAAUAAUCCAUCAGCAGGUACCUGAUCACCAAUCUUCAAGCGAACAACGUCUCCGACAACAAUUUCAAAGAUUGAAAUUUGCUGUCUCCUGCCAUUUCUCACAACUUCAACUGGGAUAUUGCUGCUGACCUUGGAAAGCUUCUCAAAUUGCCGGCUCUGCCUAAAAUUACUGAUAGCUGAAACAGAAAUGACAAGAAAAACAGCAACAAAUAUACUUCCACCAUCAUACCAUCCUUCUUUUGGACCAUUCUCUUUUAUGCCAAAACUAAGUGAUAAUGCAGCACAUGCCAAAAGAAUGGCAAUUGUAGGAUCUUGAAAAGCUUCCCAAACAAAAUGGAAGAAUCCCUUUUUGGGAGGCUUACGAUAUGUGUUGCUACCAAAGGCUUCAAUUCUGCGUAAAAUAUCUUCGGCAUCAUGACCAUUUAAUCCAUGCUGAACUUCAGUAUUGAGAGAAGUAGCUAUACCUUGAAUACCACCUAAUUGGUCAAGCUGACCAAGGCUUUUCUCCUUGACAAGCUUUGUUAGAGUUGUCUGAUCAACCUUGCAAGGGCAGGGAUGAACUUCGGCAAUAUCGAUAGUAACCGUGUCUGAAGGUACUGGUAAAAUCUUGCUCUUUCUACGACUUGGAACAUUUUUGAAGGCCCUUGAACAACAUAUGGUCAGAAAAGCAGAGCCCCAUUUCUUUUUGGUAUUGUUCAGUUUACUAAGGUGCACAACCAGGUUAAUGCAGGACAAAUUUGCAUCAACUAUUGAAGGCAUAAUUUCGAAAGCCAAUGAUAGCUGCUAAGUAAAAGAAUGUUGAGAUUUUCUAUCUCACACAAGAUAAAAGGAGAGCCAAUGUACAAAGUAUAAAUGUAGGCAAGAUAAAAGCUCACUGUAGGUUCACGAUUUCAACCAAUUUGACCGACUGCAUGAAAAGAUUUUAGAAAAACUGUUGCAUGAGUUGGUUGAUGCAAUAUUCGGUGGCUGCCUCUAUUUAUAUUGCAUAUUAUGCAUGAAGCAUCUGGUACGACGUUUCUUUCUUGUCCGAAGGUCUAAUCCAUGGGGCCUAGCAAACAAAUAGUUCAAAUGUAAUGAGCAUAAUUGACUUUAAAAGUGAAAGAAAAGGAAGAUGAGGAAAACUGAAAAGAGCUGGAAUUUACUGGUAAUAAUUCCAAAUAGUGGUUGUGUUUAUUCUAGGGAAUUUAUGCAAAAUGUCUAAGAAAUAUUCCACGUUAAGAAUGCGAGGAUAAGAAUAAUAGAAUGAGAACAUUGCAAGGGAAAACUCAAUGAACAAGUCUGAAAAGUACUAGGAAAUGCACCGCCACUGGCUUGGGGCGCGUGCGGUUGUAAUGUGUUCGAAGUUACUUAACCUAAAGCAUAAUUGACAAAGUCAAAGAAGCGAGUGUACGCGCCAACGCGGCAGAGCGAGUUUCUGUUUCUGCCCGGCUGUGUUUGGAUAGCCAAAUAAUGAUAAGAAAUUAUUUGCUUACAUUAUAGAUAUAAUUUUUAACAUAUCUUUUUAUCUUCUUAAUUAUUAUUUUUUAUUUUAUAUACAUCAUAUCACAAAAAAUGCUACAGUAAUUAUUUUAAAUAAUAUUUUAUUCAAACGCAUUAUUCAUUUAUUUAUUUAAUUUUUUUUUCUUGUUUGGGAGAUAAUUUUCCUUAGGAGGUCUCUUAAAAAGAUUGAACAAGCGAGUAAUCAUUGACAAAAAUCACCCUUCAAUUAAAUUUAUUAUUCUCAUAUAAAACUUAACGUAUCAUUUACUUUUUGGUUUGGGGUCUUAAUGCUUUUUGUUGGAAAUUGCUUAGAAGAAGCAUUUAGACCCCAAACCAAGAAGUGCCAUCAGCGUGUCCUAGAUUUACCCCCGUCAGUUUUACAUGUACCUAAUUUAAAUACCUUUCUAACCUAAUUUUACCUUUAAAAAAUAAAUUAACACUGGAGCCACUUUCAAAUGAGUGGGACACAAUAAGACAACCACCAAUCGAGCAAGAAGCAUUCGGACACCGCACCAUUAGCGUGUCUUAGUCUCUUAGGAAUAUAAACAUUAAACCAGCAGGAUAGAUUGAUUUCCCACAUCAGUUUUGCAUGUCGGGAAUGUUGCCAGAUUUUCAUGUCUUACCAAUCGAGCAGAAGUUUUGGAUUUUGCACACCCCUACAGGCUACAGGGUAGAUUUACCACGUCAGUUUUACAUAUCGGCCGUUGCCAGAAGUUGGCCAACUCAGGGCCUUUCUGGCAGAUGUUGUUUACCUAUUACCGACAUCUGCAUUAACUAAAACUCCCAACUUUCUCAUUGAUCCCAAUUUGUUUACAAAUGUAACGUCUUUAGAUCUUCUAAGCUUUUGAGUCAUAACAAUGGUUAGUCAAUAGUUCCCAUGCAAACUAUUUGAAGCCUGUUGUCAUUUUCACUGGCAUAUAGUCAUAAAAUGCUCCAAAAAGUCAAUUAUUUUGGCCUCUUAAUUCAGAAGCUAAUCUCAUGUACCUUCCGAUGUAAAUUAACUAGUGAAGAUUCUAACCACCAACAAGAAUUUAUACUAGUUGGAAAUGACCUGGGAAACUUCAGCCUUCUUACCAUGCAUUUAUAUGUGUGCUCAUUGAGAAGAAUCAAGUGGCAAAUGUUAUGCUUCUUCCAGGGGAUCAUUUGGAGUGUCAGCACUGAGGAUAAGAUCGGGACCAUUUGAUUGACUUCUGGUUUGAGUUGGCUUCACUCCUCCGAAAUGCCAUGAAAAGACCGAGGAAUAUUAAAAGACCAUACUAGGUUGUUGUUAGAACAUUCGUAUGCCCACUAGGGCUGCAAAUGUGUCAAAUUUAAGUAAAUAUUAUCACAGUUUGAACUUGAGUUCGAAUCUAAUCAAGAUUAAAGAAAAAGAAAAAAAUACUUUUUUUUUUUUUAACAUUAGUAAAAUAAACAUUUUAUUUGGGAAAUAAUAAUGGUACGAAAAACCUACAUGUAAUUUCACUAUUAAUUAAAAAAAGUUUUAUUUAACAUAUGGUACAGUACAGAACUGGCUUGACAAGCCAAUGGACAAAGCGUCCCUACACUUGGAGCCGGACUCAGACGAACUUGUUAAGUCAAUUUGAGUUCAAGCUUUGACUAAGUCGGUUCCCGGUAACUCAAUUUGCUCGCAACCUCGUAUACGUCCAUAGAAUUGGAAAGGGACAUUCUUGUAAUGCAAUGUCCUUGAGUCAACAAUUUUUGGUUUCUUGAAAACUCACUUGCCAGUUCCCAGUAACUCAGUUCUUUUUUUAAUGAACCUUGUAUAUGUUUACAGAAUUCAAAAGGGCCAUUCUUGUAAAGAAAAGUCCCGAGUCAACAAUUUUUGAGUUUCUUGCAAACUCACUUGCAAAUUCCAAAGAGACUCUCUGAGAGUGCUGAUGGUUGUGGAUAUAAAAUAUAUAGCAGACGCAAGUAAAGAUGAUGUAAAGGGUAGGACGUAGUUUGAGUGUUUCAGCAUCCCGUAAGCUGCUCCUGCGAAGACUUUUGAGCAGGUAAUUCGCAUCAGCAUGGCGACGUAAGCACUUCGCCAAAUGAGUAGAGAAAUUUUGGGUGUAAGACUUGGUAAGAGGUAUAUAAGGUCACAGGCUCGCAGGUCUUUCUACCCGAGAGCCAAGAUUAGUGAAAAGGCAGUGUUAACUGCUAAGAUUGUCCAUUAAUGAACGAUGCAAUUUUGCCCUCUUUUUACUCAUCACUAAAACGGGAACGGGUCUGCAAGACUCUCAAAUAUAACAUGGGGCUUUGUCCAAGGGGCAAAAAAUGUAAAGAAAAUAUGCAAUUAUAUCAAGGGUAUUUAUACAAAAUUUUUUGACAACAUGUAUAAUUAGAUGUACACAAAAAAAAAAAAAAUUAGUGGAGGAGCCGAUAUAAAUGUACUCUCAAAUGUACAAAAUUGCAUUGUUAAUUAAUCAUUCUAGUGCGCCCUUUUCACACAUUUUCCAAUGUAAUAAGUUAAAUCAUCACCAAAAGAUGCUAUGAAACUACGAAAUAAGUUUUAUUGGUUGUACGAGACAAUUGUAUGAAAGUGAAGAGAAACUUUGAAGAAAAAAAUGUCUGAUUUCUUAAAGUUUUAUAAAAGGUCGUGCAAGUGGCUUGCAAAAUCUAUGUCUAGGAAAAAAGAUCCACUUUCCGCGCUUUGUUGAAGUAUUUCCCUCAACUUCUUUUUUUUUUUUUUCAUUAUUUUUGUUGGAACAAUCGUUUGAAUCAUUCACUAUACAAGGAAAUCAACAUCUUGGAGCUCUGCAAGUACUCUUAGAUUUCCAUACCGGAUGGCAUUAGCCAGCAAGUCCCGGGGAUUGCCUUCCAAAUGAUUUCUCACGAAAGCAACUACAAUUCCACCAACAUAUCUUAUCAUGGGUUCUCUGGACAUCCCUUGUUACACAGGCAAUAUAUGGACUUCAUUCGAAUCCCUGGAGCGCCAUCAUCUAGCAUGUCAAAUAACAGACAACCAAUGGGUUAUCCGUUGGAGUUUGAUAUUGAUUGGUGAUGGAUAAUUCAAUGGGAUUUAAUAAGAAGAUCAUAAAAAUCCAAAACUACUAUAUAUAUAUGGACAAUGCUAUAGUGCCUAUAGUUAUGGUAACGAUAUUAGGGAAACCUACUAUUAUAAGUUUCUAUUACCUUUAGUGACAGAUCAAAAUUUUUAGCGACUUUUUUAAAUAUUAUAUUAAAAUAAUUAAUAUUAACUUUAGUAAGUUUUUAAUUAAAACUCGUAAGUAUAUGCCUGAAAGAUAAGUUUCAGUUAGAAAUAUAAAUUUACACUUUGAGUAAUUUAAUUUACUUAUUAUUUGACAAAAUUUACUUUUUUUUGAAAUUAAGCUUACUAAUACUAAAAGUAAAAAAUUUACAUAUUUAAGUAAAAAAAUCACCGGUUUCUGAAAAUGGUUUUGGGUUAUCACAUAUCUCUAAAGUUGCUUGCCUUCUUUUUAUUUUCUUCUCACCUCACGAUAUGAUGGAAUAGAAAUUUUUUCCUGGCAAGAUUACGACAGUUCUGAUCGAGAAUCGCUGGACGGAUUCAAGAACGAAGAUUCUGACUCCCACUGGAUGCCGUUUAAAGGCCUUUCCAGCAAGGUAUAGUUGCAAACAAAAUGAUUUGUGUUUUUGUUAUUCCACUGAAAAUUGAAUAUUCUUCUACAUAUUCGUUGUUCCUUUUUGUUUUUGUUUUGAUUUUAUCGUAGUUUUAGAUGACAAUGAAGGAGAGGCUUUUGCUGGUGAAUUGAAAAUUGUAUCCUUUUGUAUUUUGUGCAUCUUCUGUUCCUUCUUAUUUAAGUUUUAUACAUCUUCUGGCAAUGACUCCCACUGGAUGCCGUUUAAAGGCCCUUCCAGCAAGGUAUAGUUGCAAACAAAAUGAUGGUAGUAGUAUGUCGUUGUUUAUGUGAAAAGUGGUUAAUUUGGGAAUGCAUAUAAGGUGUUUGGUGAAAUGUUCAAAAGAAAUUUGUAUGAUACGAUUGAUGCUUGUACGGGGUUAGAAAGCACCGAACAACUUGAUUAAAACCACAGUUGACGAAUUUCAAUUACGCCGGCCAACUUGUACUAGGAAACAAAAAUGUCAAAUGCACUUCAUCAUUUAUUGGUAAGAAUUGAUACUUUAAUUUUACAAUAAGUUUGGUUAAACUAUAAAGGAGGUAAAUGUAAUUAAACCCCAAAAGUAUUAACCGCUCCUUCUUUUUAUUCUUUUAUUUUUUUAUUUUUUAAUAACUUAGUUUCAGUCUUGUGCUCUGCAACUUUUUGCUUGCAUGAUUUAAAUCAGAAAGAGUAAAUCCAAAUAAUCAAAUGUUAUGGAGUUCUCUUUACGUAGUGAUUACUUAUGAAGCUUAUUUACCAGUUGGAAAUGUUAUUUGCUCUUCUUGAAACUGCAGUUUCUAUGAUUUGAAGUGGUUUCAAUCUUUUCUCUGCCUGUACCUGUUCCAAAAUGGAAUGGUUUUUUAAAGUUAUGUUCUUGUAGUUAAAUCACAUGUCUUACAUAUUUUUAUUGCUUGAAUGGCUGUGCUGUAAUGCGUUUGUAAGAAUCCAUUCUGUACAUAAAGAAGCAACGUUGUACAGGAUGAAGGCUUCAUCAAUUAAGCUUUGCCUUUGAUCAAUUUAAUAUCUCGUAUAUGUGUGAGAAUAAAUUAGUAUACAAUAAAUUCGAGCGUGAACUAUAUUUGGGAACUUUGGAAUUUCCCUGGUUUGAAAAACCAGCCAAACAAUGUAUUUCAAUUGAUCAUAAUUCCAAAUCCAUUCAACUGAAUGAUUUAUUGAAUUCAAAUCCACCGACCCAAACAAAGUAAUGUAUUUGUCAAAUGCAACAAGCAUUUUAACUUCGAACCAUGCAGUGUUUUCAUUAGGCAUACAAAAGUUUGAUUUUAUGCAUAAUUUAAGAGGACAAGUUGAUUGCACUAAUUUGUUCAGUAAUUUCUAUUUCUUCAAGACUAAAAGAAAAAAUCAGAUGAUAAAACUAUUAAAUAAAUUAUUUAAACCUAUGGAUGCAUCCUUCAACUAUGAACCAAAUUUCCACUUUGAUUUUUGAAUUUCAAGAUAGGACCCUUUAAUUCCUAAAGUAUAAAUCUGGUCCCAUCUUAGUUCCUAAGAUAUACAAUCUGUCUUACUUUAGAAAGUACAAAAUUUCUUCUACCUAAGUAUAAAACUUGUCUCACUACCGUCUCGAAAGGGGUAAAUUUUAUAUGUAGAGACUAAAGUGUCUUAUUUUAAGUUUAGAAAUUAGAGUAGCAAUCUAAGUAUGGUUGAAAGUACAAAGUGCCAUUAGCCGUAUGAAACAAAAAGAAAUAGGCAAACAAUUAGAUGUACAUGAGUACUACUUUUACUCCUGAUGUGCCCUUAGAUUCCAAUUGUAGGUAAACACCCUUUUAGUGGAGUGAAAACCACCCUUUUAAUUUUUUACUAAAUACAAAUACUGCCAUGUGUAGGAAAAGAUAUUUGACUUUGUUUUACUUUGAUUAGAAAAACUUGUGGUAGUAAUAACAAAAUAGUGACAGGGGAUGCAAAUUUCAAAUCAACAACCAACGUACACUUAAUUACAGUAAUUUUUUAGUUGAUCAAACUAAUAUAUGCCAUAAAGUAGUAAGAUUUGAUCAUUUAUAAAUUGACAAUUUUAGCAGUUUAUAUACCAUUCACCUAUAAAAAUUAUGAUUAUUAUAAAAUGACAUUUUAUAGUAAUUUACAUACUAUUUGCCAAUUAAAAGAAAGUUUGAUAAAAAAUGUGCAUAUAAAUCCAUAUUGUAAAUGAUACAAAAUAUAUUUGAAACUCAAAACUUAAUAUAUGGGUAAAUUUAUUAUAAUUUUCAAAGAUUAUGCUACAUUAGUACAAAAUGUUAUUUUAACAACAAAAUUUUUUUUUACUAAAAGUCUGAAAUAUCCAUGACAUAUGUAUGAGGGAUGUUUUACCAUAUUUGUAUCUCACAUCUAAUCAUGAAAGUUAAUUUGAGAAAAAAUAUUUUUGACAAUAGAAUUAUUUUGAAUUUAGUCAACAAGUUGAGAUUUUUUAAACAAUAAAAGUGAAAUAUUUUGGGAACUUAGUUGUUUAUUUUCCCAUAAUUAAAAAUUGCUAUAUUUUAGCAAUUGUUACCAUUGACCUUUCAUUCUGUAGACUAAUUUUUAUCAAUGCAAAAUUAGUUUUAUUAACAAUAAUUGAAGUUCCAUUGAUCCGAGGAUUGGCAUUUUAUUGCUAUUAUUUUAUAUGUAAAUAUUUAACCUAAGUAAUAAAAUAAAUAAUAGCUACUUAAAAAAAGAAAUUGAAAUGGAAUUAAAUUUAUUUAUUAUUUUAUUGCUAACAACUUUGACCCCAUUUAAUGGUUAAAGAAAAAAUAAAAGAGACGUAGAGAUUGAGAUUGGUUCCUUAGUGUGAAAAAGGAAAGUUCUUCUAAACUAAUGUUGCGUGAAAUUCUGAAUGCAUAUAAAAUUAGAAAUGCGAUAACUUUGCAAUUCAUUCUCAUUCAUGAUGAAUAAAUUGCGAUUUUAUAUAGAAUCGCAAUUUUUUUCGUUCAGCAUGAAAACAUUUUUAUUUUGUCAUAUUGAUGGCUUUUGCUUUUAAGAUUAUCUACAUGUCGGUGGUUAGUAUUAUUGACAAGGUUAGAGGUCAUGGAAAAUGUUACUAAUUUUAGGAGACAUUAUGAAUUGUAAAAAUGGUUUAAUAAUUUUCUAUUAAGCAUAACUACUGCAUACAAAAGGAAAAGAUAUUUGAUUUUAUUUUGUUUUGAUUAGAAGAACUUGUACUAGUAAUAAAGGAAAUUUCAAUUCAACAAUCAACGUGCACAUGAUUACAAUAAUUUUUUAGUCAUUUAGACUAAUAUAUGUCAUAAAGUAGUCAGAUUUAGUCGUUUGUCAAUUCAUAAUUUUAAUAGUUUACAUAAAAUUCAUCUAUAAAAAAUUAUGAUUAAUAAUUUUAUAAUAAUUUAUAACAAUCAACGUGCACAUGACAUUUUAUAAUAAUUUAUAUACCAUAUGCCAAUAAAAAAAGAGUUUGAUAGACAAAUCCAUAAUGUAAAUGAUACAAAGUAUGUUUGAAAGUCACAGAACUUAACAUAUGGGUAAUUUUACUAUAAUUUUCAAAGAUUAUGCUAUGUCAAUACAACUUUAAUUUUUAUACUUGUGACCCAAAAAAUAAAUUUAUUAAGAUUUUACCAUUUUAUUAAAUUCAUAGGCAUUAAUAUAUGAAAAAUUGUGUACCAUUUUAUUAUAUUCAUAGGUGUCAAUAUAUGGAAAUUGUGAUGUAUAGAUAAGGGCAAUUCUAUAUAUAACUCGAAAGAUUUGUUGUUACUGUCAUCCAAACUUUCUAACCUUUAACAAAUUCAUAAAUAAAUCAAAUUUAUAAUAUGACAAAUUAUUCUUACAUAUGUUAUAAGGUCAUAUGCAAAAAAAAAAAAAGUUUUCAUAAUAAAAAAAUCUUAGCAUUAUUUCAAAUAAACUUCCUAAUACUUGUUUCAUAUAAGUUUCUUUAAGUAAAAUACUAAAUUUAUGCCACAAACUAGUAAGUUUUGAUGAUUAACCAAAUUUACUAUUCUAUGAAUAAUAUUUACUAUUAAUCUAUAAAAACUUACUAUUACUUGAACUAAACUUACUCUCCAAAAACUAAGUUUUAGAUAUAGAGUAGUAAUUUACUUCAAAAAAAAAAGUAAGUUCCAUAUUUAUUCAAAUUUACUUUUUGAGUCAUAAAAGUUACUAAUUUAUUGAGUUAACUUACUACUUUUAAUAUAAAACUUACUAACCAAAAUUUUAGGUACUAUUUUAUUUAGAUGACCAGUACAACAGGUAAUCAAAUGGUCGCUAAAAGUGUUUUUACCUGUUAUAUCAGGUAAAAACAGUUUCGUUACUAUAACGAUCGUUACUUCAGACUUUUCCAUAAAUAUAUAUAUAUACAUAUAUAUCUACCUUAUAUAUAAGAAGAAAGCCAAGUUACUGUAACAGCCCAUCUUUUUUAUACAUAUAUUGCAUAUAUUUUUUACAAAUGGAAUCUUGGUCAUUUUAGCUAAAUUUUUCCUUCCUUUUUUUGAUUCAAUUUGGCCAAAAGCAUUAAAAUGUUUUUUGUCUUUCACAAAAUCAACUCCAUCUCUUCUUCUUCUUCUUACAACACUACUGUCAUUCCUCACCUUUUUUGUUUUUUAAAACUAAUCUAACUAAGAUUGUUGCCAUGUUCUUUUUUUUUUCGUCGAGAUGAUUAGCUACUUAGCAAAGAGAAGUCUUUAUUAUUUUUUUGAUCCCAUUUUACAUUUUCUUUUCUUCUUUUUUUUUUCAUCUCUAAUCUUUCAUGUUUGCUCUAUUUUUCGAUCAUAAUGUUAUAGCCAACUGGUAUUUGUUUGUUAAAUUUAUAGGAUGAUGUUUUUAUUUGGUAUUUCUUCAUGGAUAAAAGGUGAAAUAUUAAAUUAUGUAAAAAGAUCUUAGAAUCCAUUUUAUACCAGCGGUCAUCUUCUAUGAAGAAUAAAACAAAAAUUCAUUCUUUUCUUUUCUUCUCCCAAAAUUUGAUUUCCCAUUUCACAUUUUUUUUUCCUUUUCUUUGUUUUUUGGUUACAUUUUGUAAUUAUCUACAAUUUUGUGUAUUUUUUUAGGAGAAAGAUAUAUCAUGUGAUGCUUCGACCAAGAUAAAUUUAGCAAGGCAUUCUUCUACCUCUGUUUUACUCUAUUUUUUUCUUUCCCUCACCCCCCUUUUGCAAUUACUUUAUGGUCUAUUCAAUUUAAUUGAAAGAUUCAAUAAGAUUUUGUAUAUAUUUAAACUAAUGUUAAUUUUUGUUUGUUUUUUAAUUAGUCAAGUGUUGUAGUAUCAAUUGGGUUGGCAUACAAGGAUUGUAGUUGGUGAUGGAAGUCACAAUUGAGACUUUCAGCCUAGAGUAUGACUUGAUAAAAAAUUGUUGGAAAAUUCAACUUUGAUUAGGAAGAUGUUUUGCAAUAAAAAAAAUGGUUUAGUUCUAAUUUGUAUAUGUAGAUCUAGAAACAUAGCAAUUUAUAUUUUUAUCUAACCUUACUAUUUAUAUUCUAGAGUUGUAGGAUAAUGUUGUCACCUUUAGGCGAGAUUUAAAUAGAUGAACUAGCUUUUCCUAUCAAAAGAAAGAAAAAUGUGAAAGUUUAUAGUAAGCUAUAUUGAUGUUAAAAAUUGUGCCAUAUCUUAGUGGUUUUUAAAACUUUUUCUCAUUAUUAAAGUACUAAAAGUAGUAUGACUACUUUUGGAUUAGUUACAACUAAAACUAUGCUACUAUUAAUACAACAAUGCACUUAUAGUGUAUUAAUUCUCUCUCCUUUUUGGGUAUCAUCAUAAUAGUGGUUCAAAAGCUUUAUUCAAAUCACAAUAAAUAGGGGAGUUGACUUCAUACAUGAAAUUUCUCUUCACAACAAAAUUUGAGGGAAAUUUUAAGGGCUACUCCGUAUUUUGUUAAUUGUAUUCCUACAAUAAAUAAAAACUAUAUGAUAAAAAUAAUAGUGAAAGUAUGAUUAACAAAAAUGAGAGUUCAAAUAAUAUUUGUCAAUUUUAAUUGUUUUGAUACUCAAUUUUCUCUUAUAUUUCUAUUCAUUUAUCAUGUGCCAAAAUAAUUUGAUAUUAUGUGUUCCACUAAAAUUUCUAAGGGCCCAAACAGUGCUUUGCACAGACCAAGUACCUCUAGAAUAUAUAUACGUAUGUGUGUGUGUGUGUGUGGGAACAAGUGUUUGAAUUUCUUUUGGAUAUAUGCUGAAAUUGGUAAUAGUCGGAGAUACAAUUUAAAUAAAAGUCUCGAAUGAAGAUAGUUGGGAUUAAAAAUAGAAGAAUGUUGAUCUAACUUUUCAUAAAAACUUAAUUUUUUCUCAUGCAAGUUCUAUGGCUCUGCUCAUGUUUGACUGGGUAGAGGGACACUCGACGUGUAAUCCGAAGCGAGCAAGAGAGUUUAGUAAUGAAAAUAAAAACUCGUAGGAUUACCCAAUAAAAUUUGAUAAAAAGCUCAGGUAAACUGGUUAGGAUUUGGUUAAAUGCACUUUCGCGAGUACCUGAUCCCCAUCCCUGCGUUUCUCUGUCUCCCUAGCCCGCGGGGAUGAGAACCACAAGCCAACAACAGAGUCCCAACAUUACAAAAGCAGAUGUCAACCAAGUGCGAUCAGUUUAGGUGCUACUUUGCUAAUUUCAGCCUUCAGGUUAGACAUGUUAAUAUACAACUCUUUUGAUCACUUAGCAUGGUAGUUUUUUUCUAGGGAAAUUUGCACUGGGAAAUUGGAAUUGCAUGUAUAGAUUGUAGUUUUUAUGGGUUUUUUUUAGAACUGUUAAUAUAAUGCAUGCUACUGCCCUUUUUGUUGACUUCGUUUCCAAGCCUAGAUAAAUGUCAUAACAAUCUCUUAAAUACGUAACUGCAAACAGAGAAAAGAAAAAAAAAAUUUUGUGCCAGGGAGUGAGUGAAAAAGCAUGGAUAAAGAAAUUUGAGAUUUUCGCUUCAUUUGGAGUUUUACAUGUUGGAGAACAUCUGAUCAAUUUUAGUGUAGUCGAAAGCAUCAAAAUUCUCUUUUUCUUGGAACAAUUCUGAAACUUCCCUCUCUUUGUAUUCAUUCAAUUAAACAUGGGACCAUUUCUCCACUUUCUGAGAAUAAGUAAUCUUCUUCAACAAUAUAUGCUUCAAGUUUUCAACACAACAAUUUUCUUUCUUCUUCUGUUCUUUCCUUAUUUAUUUAUUUAUUGGUGUAUUUCUGAUGGGUAGGUUGUCAUGUUAACCAACAUCAAUGUUUUAGCAUAUUUUGUUGGAUUGGAUUGAUAUUUGAUUAUUGGUCUUACGAACUUGGUUCUCUUCUAGGUACCAAGUAAAACAUCCAACAAUGUUUCACAAAGCAUUGGAACAAAACCGACAUCCACACAUAAUCUUUGUUGCAAAGUGAAUCUGAUGCACCAUUGUAAAUCUGCCCUGAAUUAGGUGAGUUUGGAUAGGUCUUCCAAAAACUCGUCUGUUUUUGGGAUGGCAUGGAGCAAAUUGUCCAUUAUGAUUUGUCAACUGUCUAUCCUCUUCCUCCCCUUAAGCUUUCUGUGGGGAGUAUCAUCGGGAGCGCAUGUGUCUUUGAUUCUGUCGUCGGCUAAUAAGCUAGAUCGAUCCCGGAUAACUAUGAAGAAAAAGUGAAGAUCUCAACAUGGCGAAGCCAAAGAAGAAUAUGUUUUCACCAAGAACUACUAGUUCUUCAGGAGAAUGGUGUGUCUCGGUUCAAGGGAAUGUUGGUAUAGGGGACCUCAAUUGACUCCUUUUACAUGGUUAAAAGCUACAGGUCAAUGCGAUGAAUAAAUGUCUCGAUUAAAGCAUGUCAAAACUCAAAACACCUUAAGGAAAUAGGAUGGUGUAAGGAAUCCCAAACACAUCUUUUAUAGCAUUGGAAUUAGGUAGGCGUGUCAAUAGGUAGGGUUUGGAUUGGAUCCCUUUGAUUCAAAUCCAAACUCAUUUAAUUUAGUUAGAUCUAAACUCAGAUCCAAACCCUUUUGGAUUGGAAAAAGUAAAUCCAUACCCAAACCCUUGUGAAUUGGGAUAUCCAAUGGGUAUCUAUGGGUAUUUUCUGAACAUAUUAAAGUAAAAAUGUAUUAAAAAUAUGUAGAGUUCAUAAAUAAUAUAAAUGCCAUCUAAUUUUUGUUUUCAACUUAUAAAUUUAACAUUUAACAAGUUGAAUGUAAUAUUGUGAACUCAAAGAAAGAAUUAUUAUUGACUAUUUCUAUAUGUUUUCAAAGAUUCAAUUUUAUCCACAUCUAAUGUUUCAUUCGUUCGCCUUUAUCAAUUAUUUUUUCUUAAAAAAAUUUGUACCAAUUACAAUGACAAUUAGAAUUAUUUUUUUUAAAAAAGUAAACAAUUAUAACAUAUAUAAAUAUUCAGCCUUAUUAAAAAAUAUAUAAUUUUGUACCUCUUUUUCUCAUUUAAAUCUCAAUAUUAGUAGAUGUCUCGCAAUCCAGCACUAAAAUAAUGAAUGAGAUAAAAGUCAUUUGACUAAAAAUCGAUGGCAAAUAAAUAGUAGAAUAAGAAAAUUUAUAAACACGUACUUAUUUCUUUUUAUUCAAUCCAAUCAUCAGCAGUUACUAAUGUUUCAAUCAUAUCUGGAAGCAAUUUAGCACGAGUUUCAUCAAUCAUCCAACCACCAACACUAAAUGCAAAUUCUGAUAUCAUGAAAUCUUACUGUAUUUGAUCCAAUAGCUAUAAAAUAUUAGAUUAUUUUAUAAAUUUACUAAUACAUAUCUAUAUAUAUAUAUUAUUUAAUUAAAUAUAUAUCGAUUUGGGUAGGAUCUGGUAUGGGUCUGGAUUUAGAUAUAAAUUUUAGAAAAUCAGAUCCUACCUAGACUCAUGACUCUCUCACAGGGUCAAGGUCUGAAUUUAGGUAGGGUCUGGAUUUGAGAAAUUAAAUUCAAACCAUACCCAAAUAUGUUGGAUCUAGAUUGGAUAUGGAUAAAACCUGAUUCAUUGACAUGCCUAGAAUUAGGAAACCACUUAUCCACUUCCAGAGUAUCAUAGCAAAUGAUUGCCUACGCAAUUAAGGGAGCCUAUUGCCCUUUCUAAGUUUCUUCUGUAAAAUGGAGACUACUCUUUCAUUAUUGGUUCUUAUGUAGGAAUGAAAGAAUAAAUUUUUUUUGGAAGUCAAGUAGUCAACCCUUGAGUUUCUAUAUAUAUUCCAAAUUCCAAUAACCCAUUUUUCAAGUAAAUUUGUGCGACAAAGUUUAAGGAUGAUUUCUAUUUUUUCUGUUAGGUCCGGUCUUAAGAAAUUAACUAACAAGAAUAAUCGGAUUUUUGCCAACUUAAUAAUGACAAUAAUAAAACAAAUAAAUUAAACAGCAAAACACAAAAUUUUAUGUGAUUCGAUUAUAUUGACCUACGUCUACAGACAAAAGAGUAGCACAUUUAUUAUAACAAAAAAAGAGUACAAAAGAGAGAGUAUAAAAUUUUAUGAAAUAUUUCAUAUGUUCAAAAGACACUUAAAAUUGAAAACACAAAAGAGCAUAAAUAACAAAAAUGUUUAAUGACUCAAAGACUCGUAAUUUACUCUUUUGGUUUGAUGCAUAGUUAUUAAAUCUGGUUUAGGGAGGAACCCGGUGAAAGAAGUGGGUCAACGGGUUAUUAGUUCAACCAGUGGGUGAGUGGCCCAAUCAUGAGUCACUAAAUAUACUUAAAUAUUAUGUCUCAUAAUUUUUGAUAUGGUUGAAACUAUAAUAAAUUAUGCUAUAGUAAAUAUUCAGUUAAUUCAAUUUAUUGUAAAAUCAUUAAUUCUUAUAGGAAUUAACAAAACCUAAAUUUAAUUAGUAAUCCACCAAAUUUCAAGUAUAAAAUUUUAUCUAAGUGUAAUUAUCUAGUUUAUUUAUGAAUUUUAAGUGCAAAAGGUUAUUAAGAAUAAUAUUUGUCUUUAAAAUCAAUUAUGUAAUAUGUUAUUUUUUAAAGGGUUAAAAAUAAAAAAAACCCCCUGUGGUAAGCCUAAUACACAGAAAAACCCCCUAUAGUUUCAAAAUAUACAAUACGACAUCUCAUGCUUUGAACUAAAUUGUAAAAGUGACGGAAUCCGUUAAACUUAACGGAAAUGACUUAUUGGAACCUAAAAAAAUUUUUUUAUACCUAUUUUUUAUCAAAUAUACCAAUUCUACCCCUUAACCCUCAAUUCUCUCUAUUUAGAAAAUAAAACAAAUAAUUUUUUUGAGCUGUCUUUUGCUUAAUUAUAUCAUGGUAUUUUGGUCAUUUUGACCAUUUCCGUUAAGUUUAACGGAUUUCAUCACCUUUACAAUUUAGUUCAAAGUAUGAGGAGUCGUGUUGUAUAUUUUGAAACCACGGGGGGCUUUUCUGUGUAUUAGGUUUACCACAGGGGGCUUUUUUAUUUUUUUACCCUUUUUUAAAUCCAUUUCAUAAUUUAUAGAAUUUAGGGGAUAAUAAAAUUUUAUUAAAAGAUUCCAAACAAAUUUUGUUUUGAAGAAAUAAAAUAAAAAUAAAAGUCUAAUAUAUAAUAUAGAAGGACUAAGUAAGCACCAAAUGGGCUAUUGGACUAGUGGUGAGUGUAUUUAGCCUUUGUACUUGAGGAUUGGUUGAACCGCCGGUCCGUUGAAAAGUCAACGGAUUUCUUGCACAAACGAUCAAAUUACUAACCCAGCCCGGUUUCAUGGUCGGUUCACCAGGUUGACUGGUUGAACCAUCAGAUCGGGUCGAGUUUAAUAACAAUGGUUUGAUGUCUAACCAAAACUCUUCUCAAAUUGGGGCGUGGGCCCCCCAAAACUCUUUUGAACUAGUGCAUACAGCACUUGGAUUGGUGCGGUUAACACACUUAAACUCACUUAAAUCUACUAUAUUUUUAACACUAGGAGGGGAAUACCUGCGCAUCAUGCGGGUGUUUGGUGCCUGUGGUUAAAGAAGAUUUUACGGUAGUUCAAUCGAAUAUCAAAAAACUCACGCACGUUGAAUAACAAUAUAAAGUAACAAAAUAUCUAAUGUAUACUGGAAGAUGGAGAAAGAAAUUAUGCAUGCUAUCUUGCUUGGUUCAUAUAUUUUGAAACAAAUACUUAUAUAUGAGCUUUUCAUUAACAAGACUAAAUGAACUUUAAACAGAUACCGAAAUGAUUCAGAGAAUGGCAAUAAACAAAGUGAUUAUUCACUUAAAGAUGCAUCUACACAACAUUCUAAACGACAAAGCCUAGCCUGGAAAGGUUUGGUUCCAUUAGAGGAUUCAACAAUGGAUCAUCAACCCCCGUAGAUUUUGGGUGAACAUAAUGCUAAAUGCCCUUAACAUAGGCCUUCGCCUGUAAUUUCGUUAACUCAAUACUGAUUAGAUCUUUCUCCCAAAAAUAAGGACAAUUGAGAAAAAUCAGAUCAAGAUCGAAGUCGUCUAGUAUCUCCCGCCAAACCCUUGAUGCCAUGUUAUGUGCUAAAUUGCCACUGAUAGGGUAUUAUUUGUUGACAAUUUUAUUAUUAAUUUUUCCUUUUAUUCCAACCAAAUAUUGUUUUAACUAUUAAUAUCUACUUAUAUUUGGUAUCUGGAAUUAAUUUCAGGGAGUGGAACAGAAAAGUACAAAAAAGAAGGAUCAUCCUGGAGAAAAUUGAGACUUCUAAAAAGACUUCAUAAUCCUGGCCCACAUUGUUGAGAAGAACUAGACUUCCAAUUCCCUUUUUAACUGACUAGGAGUCCUCCACACAAGCACUUCGGCAGAGGGCUCCAAUUCUUGGGCUUUUGAAAUUUCUGUGGGACCACAGAGACUAGGAGGCAUUAGUCAUAUCUUGGCUUAAAGAAGGAAAACGCACGGGGAGCUCUGAUGAAGAGUUUUUAGUUUUGAGCUUUAGUUUUGAGUUUUUCCUUUCUUUUUCCCUUUGUGAGGCGCACGCCAGAGCUUAGUCUUUUAGGAUAGUUUUUAGUUUUCUUUCUUUCUUUUUUCCUUUUGUCAGACGCACGCCUACCGUUCGACAAUAUUCCCCAACGGAAAAAACAUCUUUUAUUUCUCGCGUCCUAGUGAAAAACUUGAUGCCCUUGUAAUCAAUUAAUUUGUGUAGAGAUUUAUUUAUGCGGCGUGGCUAAGUCUUCCAUCUAGUCAAGGAUCAACUCGACAGCGCAGUCCCGAAAAUCUGUGAGAUCUAAUUAGUUUUCACGCGUUCUCAAUUUAUUAAUAUUUGCACGUUGUUUGCUUGAAUUUUCAUGGGAUUAUUUUAUUAAUUGGAUGUCAAGUGUCCGAUGUUCAAUGUAAUUUAUUAAUCUCCUGCCAAGUUAGUCAAUUAAAUCCGUAAUUGUUUGAUUGAUUAAUAUUAGUGGCAACUGGUGUGUUUAUAUAUUAGGGGAACGUGCAAUCUAAUUUAAAUAACCCUCGUAGCGAGUUAUUGAUUGGGGUUAAGUUUUUCUAGUUAUUAAUGCAAUUGAAAAAUUAAUUCCUACCGUCGUACCUAGGAGUAUUUUCUGGUUAGGGGUAAUCAAUGGUCGUACCUUGGUUAUCAAUAAAUUAAGAAAAAAUUGGUCGUUAGACUUCGUCGGCGACUAUAACUAGUCUAUUAAUAAAUUAAGUGAACCUCUCUUGCAUCAAUGAUUAGGUAAGUGGACUGUGUCUAAAUAGUUGCAUCCUUGGUUAGAAUUUAUUUAUUCUUGAUUUAAUUCCUGCUAUAUCCGUGCCAGUUAAUUAUUUAUUUUUUAGUUGAAUUGUUUAAUUGUUUUUAGUUUCAUUCUGAUAAAGCCCCCUUUACCAAUUGGAAUUUCAAAGAGACAAAUAUCCCCAGUCCCUGAGGAGACGACCCUACUUGCCACUGUUUACUGUUUAGUAAUUUUUGUCGACUAAUUAAUUCUGAUAUAUCGGAUUAAGCAAAUUUUUCGGGAAUAGGGUGAAUCAAGUAAUUCAUUGCACACCUAGAGUCCCUACUCCAGUACCUAAGAUUAAUUAUUGACUACUUUUAGUGGUAUUUAGGUUAUUAUUAUUAUUAUUGCACAAGCUCGACGCCUGUCAGCCACCAACACUAUCCCCACCAAAAUACACCCUAUCAAAGCCAGCAUAAUUCCUAAGCCAUACCUCAGGAUUCUCGCCAUUUGAAUGAGAGGCAACCCAUUUGACUGCAAUCUGAGAAUCUUCAUAAGCAAUAGGCAAAGGAUGCUCAGGGAUGAGCCGAUAGUUAAUUGAAAUUGCUAUACCACCAGCUUCUACAACUACUAUAUUAAGGUGCGCGUGAUAUGUAAGAGAGAAGGCAUAUUUGAUCAAACAGCCUCCACCAUGUAAGUAGACCAAAAGAGGAAGUUUUGUAUCUCCAAACCUAUUCCAACAAAAUCACACCAUUUAAAUUGUAUAGAACAACCAACUUUAUGGGGAAACAAUAAUAUCAACAUUAAAUUGCACUAACAGAGUAUCCAAUUUUGGAAUGAAAACAUUUAGCUAACAAUAGAAAUUAUGAUUAUACAAAGCAAAUCAUACCAUUAAAAAAAAGAAUGACACCUCACCUCAAGUUGAACCAUCAAGAAUAGCUUCACCAGAGAACCAUAUUGAAAUCCAGAGUACAAUGACAAUACAAAUAAGUAUUUACCGGAAGACGAAAGAAACAUAACGGAAGAAUGCGAAGAGGCAAACAUUUGAAGAAUUGAAGUUGAAACUAAUGCUCAAUAAUAAAUUCCUUAAUAAACCACAUUGCCCUUGCUUUAAUUGAGAUGAAAAUGACGUUUGAAGUUCUUCAAGUUAUAAUAGCAAAGUAAUAGUAAUAAUUGAUACAAAUCAAAAUAAAUGUCUCUGCAAGGACAUUUAAGUAAUUACACAAAUAAAGAAGCUAUUAUGGGUUGUACCCAUUGUAGAAAAGAUGACCAAAUAAUCUCACAUUUCCAAACUACCGAAACCUUUGAAUAAAUUAUCACUGCAUCUUUUAGAAUUCAAGGACAUUUCAGUAAACACAAUAAAACACAUGCUAUCUAAAGUAAUACCUAAUACUAUAACUAUACUCAAAACAAUCUCACAAUCCCAAAAUACCCCUACUCUUGCGGUUGAAAUUCAAAACUAUUUUUUGACCCAAACUCAUUCUUAUAUAGUAUAAGGAAGCACACAUAGAGAUUUCUAUGUUAAACUCCCAAUGUGAGAUACAGAGACACACUUAACAAAUUUUCAUCUUGGCGUGUAUCCAACAUCGGUAAAUAGCAGAUAAAUAGCAAACAAGCUCAACCUUCUACAUAAAAAUUUCAACGAAUCUCAACGAACAACCAAAAUCCCAACAAACCCCAACGAACCAUCAACAAAUCAGGAUGCAAAAGAUUCAAUGGAUCCCAACGAGUCAAAACUCACAAAAAGGUUUAGCAGAUCCCAACAAACUAAAAAUCACGAACAUAGUAAUAUUACUCCACCUUCUUCACAAAACCUUUAACGAAUUUCAACGGGUCAAAUAACUUUUCUUCAAAACCCAAUUGAACUCCAAUGAACAAAACCCUCAACGAGUUUCAAUGGAUCAAAUAACUCUUUUUCAAAAUCCAAUUGAACUCCAAUGAAAAUUUUUAUCCGAAACCCCAAUAAAAAUUUACGUGGUUCAAUUAAAUUGAUCUAUAUCCAUGGGUGAAAGAGGCGAGAGUAUAAAAUCCUAAGGUGAAGAGGUGAGAGUAUAAAAUCCUGAGAAAUAUUUCCUAAGCUCAAAAGACAGUUAAAACCGAAAAUACAAAAAAACCUAAAUAAUAUAAAUGUUUAAUGGUUCAGAAGUCCAUAACUUGCUCUUUUAGUUUGAUGUCUAACCAAAACUCCUCUCAAAUUAUAGCGUAAGCCCCUCAAAACUCUUUUGAACUGGUGCAUACGACACUUGGAUUGAUGUAUUUAGCACAUUUAAAUUCAUUUAAAUCCACUAUAUUUAUAACAAUUAUAAGGAGAGAUUUCUUUGUUAAACUCCCAAUAUGGAAUACAAAGACACGCUUAAUAUUUUCUAUAGUCCAGCUAAUGAUAAAAUGCAACGAAGUAGCGAAGCUAAUAUGACAUUAUUAUUUCAAUCCUUUCACUAUUAUUUUUAUACUGAUAUUUCAAUCUAACAUGUGGGAGUUGACUAUAUAGAUCUCGAGAAUUCUCAUGUCUCUAGAAUUAAUAAAGUUAAUGGAUCCUUUGCUAUUUAGGUGCGGUAUGAGUAACAGUUUCAGCUCUGCCCUGGGGCGUUAGAUGCAGCGCAUUAUUACUGUACCAUGGAAUGCAUAGCACUUGUAGUAAAACAUAAUACUAACUACAAGGUAGAAUCUGUGUCAUUCUCCUUCGAAAAAAAAAAAAGAAUCUGUGUCAUUCGUGGUACUGAUUUGUAAAAUGUCAAUUACUGAGCAUCAGAAACGUGAAAUUUCAGCCAUCAAAUAAAAUUGUUCCUGACAAAUAAAAUUGUUCCUGACAAUUUUCUUUAUAGGUAUAUGUUAGGGAAAUAAUGUUAGUAAUUAUAGUUAAAAUAGUUGAGAGUUAGUUAGAUAUGACAAUGAAGCAAAGGAUAAUCUGGAACGAACAGGAGUUUGGUUCCAAACUUUAAUUCGUUUUCUGGAUUCUUAUCCAAACCUUGUGCUCUGUGCAUAUUCGAAAAGACUGCAGAAGGUUAUACAUAUAUAUAUAUAUAUAUAUAUAUAUAAGCCAUUCUAUUUUUGUAACAGAUACUAAAUACAAGCAAAUAAUUAAAACGAAAAUUGAACAGAUGGCUCAAGCUCUAGUUAAAAGAGAAGAUUAGCUUAUCCGGAUGAGUGAGGGAUUUAUGAUUAUUUUUGUAAAUAAUGUCAGUCAAACGGAAACAUCAAUUUUACAUUACAAACAUAGUUGAAGGACUACAUGAGCAAUUUCGUUUUUUGUUGUUCUUUGCCUACAAAUUAAUAGUUUUUUAGCUAUAUUUCAUUGCAUCUUUGAGCUUAGUAAUCCUCAUUUCUUCCUUUCUUGUUAAAAAGAAAAACAAUUAUCACAAUUUUACCUUUUUUCCCUACACUUUUUAACGACUACAACUAUAAGGAUUACUUUCGAUGAAUUUAAUGCAACCAAUCUGAAGUGUAUAACUGAGGAUUCCAGUAAGUUGUUUCUACUGUUUUUUUUUCUUCUCUUAAUAAGAUUGUAAUUAAUCCAUGAUUUUAGAACUAUUACAAACAAAUUACAACUCAACCCGCAAAAUAGUUAAAUUUAAAUCCAAGAUCUCUAAUUUCUUAUAGCUCAACUGGUGAAUGUUGCACUCAAAAUUGACAGCACAGCCAUGAAUAUUACGAUAUAUGCUUGAAGAAAAAGUAAACUGCCUCUCAAGUCCAAGGUCGAUCAAAACUAACAAAAGAAAAAAGUGUGAGACGGAAGUCAACGGACGUAACACAAAAUUCCACAAAGUCACCAGAGCCCAAGUCGUCUCUCAGUCUCCCUAGCACAUAUUAAAUUACAAAUAUUUGCACACUAACUACUGGGCAGAGAGGUGAAGCAAGUAUGAAUUGAUCAGUUGAGGUGCUACUUUGCUCAAUUCAGGUUAGACAUGUUUGUUUCUUCCCCCUCUGCCUCGAAUUAUGCAUGCAUUCCGAGACAAUGCAGUUCUAUUUGUUUGGUUUGUAUGAAUUUGAAAUUGCAUGCAUUGAUUGUGUUUUUGAUGGGUUCUUUAGAACUGCUAGUUGUAUAAUGCCUCGUUGACUUCGUUUGCUGGCCUCAAAAGUUAAGCCGAAAGGAGAGAUGUUUAUAACGUUUUGUUAAAUAACUACUGCAAACAGAAGAAAGCAUAUCUACCAGGGAGGAAUAAAGCAUGAAUAAAAGAAAUCUGAGAUUUUCGCUUCAUUUGGAGUGUGGGUAAAACCCAUCUGAACAAUUUUACUGUAGUUGAAAGCUUCUGAAUUCUUAUUCCGUUGGACGGAUUUUGAAACGUCCCUGUUAUGUUUCUAUUUAGUUAGACAUAGGACAACUUCACUUACUGAGGAUAAUUAUCUUGUUCAACAAUAUAUGCUCCAUUACAGCAUUUUUUUUUUUUGAAUAUUUUCUGAUACAUUGGCUGUCAUGUUAACCAAAUCAAUUUAGGAGAAUGAAUUUGGUUUUUGCACAUUUUGUUGGAUUGGACGGCUGUUAACUUUGGCUGCACCUUUGAACAUGUGUCUUAUGAACUUGGUUCUCUUAUAGGCAGUAUGUAAUCUAGGUUAUAAGAUCACAAAUCAAUUAAUGAAUCCGUGGAAUGAGACGUUUCAGAUGUUUAUGGUUUUUAACUGCAACGGCAGUUUAACUUCUUCACCACAGUCUUCGUUACAAAUUGAAUCUGAUGCCUGACUCUAAAUCUGCCCUGAACUAGGUGAAUUUGGAUAGGCUUUUCACUAAGUUUUUGCGAUGGCAUGGGGCAACUUGUUCUAAUAUGAUACUUGUCUAAUGUCCAUCCUAUGUUUCCUCUUGAGCUUUCUGUGAGGAGCAUCAUCAGGGCAUUUGUCUCGGAUUCUGCCAUCAGCUAAUAAGUUACAUCAAUAUCCUAGAUAAGUCUGAAGAAAAGGUAAGGUUUCAACAUGUCAAAGCCAAAGAAGAAAUGGAAUUCACCAAGAGUUCAAAUUUCUUCAAGAACAUGGUAUGUGUAUGUUUGACAAAGAUGUUGAAUGAUGUAGACUGUGUUUACCUUCUCAUGAUAUGGAAGACCAUGGUUAACUUGCUUCUAAACUGUUCAAACCUGCUGGUGUAUAAACUGAAUAAAGAUCUCAAUUAAGGUAUGUCAAAAUGUCUAGAAGAGAAAGAUGAUGUUUGAAAACCUUAAUAGCUAGAAACUCUUGUAUUGGAUAGGAAUUAUUAAUCCACAACUACAGCUUCUGAUAUUCUAAAAUUUACCAUUUUGAGUUACAGUAAGGUUCGUGAUUAUUCUUUUCCACUUUCGGAGUAUCCUCGUAGCUGAUCUUCCUGUUCUGCCCACUUAUUUGGACGCACAUAUUGGCCUGUCUAUCUUCUUUCUGUAAAAUGGAGUUUACUCUGAUCUUCCUGUUUUGCCUACUUAUUUGGACACACAUAUUGCCCUGUCUAUCUUCUUUCUGUAAGAUGGAGUUACUCUCUUACAAUUAGUCUUUGUGUGGGAGUGAUAAAAGUUCUUUCAGAACUCAACCAAUCAAGUUCUAUAUAUUUCCCAUUAGCCCAACUUUCUUAGCAAAUUUCGUGAGACACUGAGUGCAAGAAUGGUUUCUGUUAUACAGUCCGUAUAAAGCAAAGAAAUAUGAAAGUUUAUAUAAAUUUAGCUAUUUCAAUCCUUUCAUGUAUUUUAUAUGACUUAGCAUCUGGGAGUUAACCUAGAGCUUGAGGGAUUGGUUACAUCUUCCAAACAAUAAAGUUCAGGAUUAUUUUCUUUGUUAACUGUCAUAUGAGCGACUCUAGACUAUUGCUGUGUUAGAUGCAUUAAUUAUACUAGUGUACUCUGCAAUCCAUAGCACCUGUAGUAGAGCAUGAUAGAGUACACAGCAAAACCUAUGUCAUCAGUGGUGUUGAUUUGUAAAAUGUCAAUUAUUAAGCAUGAGAAAUGAAAAAUUACCAGACAUUAAUGAAAUUUGUUCCUGAUUAUUUUCUCAAGUGGUAUAAAAAACAGCAAAGGGUUGGUUAAGCUAUACUGAGAUCUCUAAGCCACUAUGUUUCCGUACCUAGGAUACUAAAGAUAAGCAAACAGCAGAAAAAUUUACAGAUGGCUCAACCUAACAGUUGAAAUUACAGAAGAUUAACUUUGCUAAUAAAUACUUAUCAGAUGGGCCAUAUCAGUUUUACUCCAGCAGCUUAUAAAUGUGAAGAAAAUGGACAUUUUAUCCUCUCGACUAGCCACCCAAUUGGCCAGGCUAGAACAGCAAUUCCAAUGCAUAUAAUCCAUUGCUUCCAAGACAGUUGCUUUGUAUCUGCUAACUCCUUUAACAGUUCCACAAUCAAUACCUGAAGAAGAAUUAUCGCUAGGAUUACACCCCAAAACAUUUUCCUUUUAUGUAUCCCUUUGAAGAAGUUUCCUUCAACUCUUUUCGUGUUGAAUAUGACAAAGAGCUCCCAGAGAACAAGGAUGUUGAAGAUCAUGGUAUCCUUUAUUUUGGCAUCCAGGUUGAAGGUUGAUUGACCUUUGAACUGUAUGGUCAGGAGAACAAUGAUAGGAUAGACAGCUUGUCCCACUAUAUUCUUCCACAUGAUGCUUGUUAUAAAUGGCUGCUCCUGGUCUACUCUUGGCAAUUGUCUGAGCUCUUCUGGUGGUUCCUCAAUGGUGAUAGCCAGUGCAGCCAAUGCACCAACUAUCAACUUCACCCAUAGUACUUGAAAUGUUGCAUAUGGGACUUUACCUGAUGAAAUGGCCGCAACAAUAUUGAUAGUGGGAGGUUCUUUAGCAGAAACUGCUGUUACGAAGUCUAUCACAAGACAAGCAAUGCUAACAGAAAGUUGGAACUGUGCAUACAUCUGGAUUUUGUGAUACAUACCUCUACCCCACCUCAAUACUCCGGCUACAGAAUCAAAAUUAUCGUCCAAAAUGAUAAUGUCCGAGUUCUCCUUUGCUUGGCUAGUCCCUUGAAUUUCCAGAAAGAGGCCUGCAUUAGCUUCCCUUAGCACAAUUGCGUCCCCUAUGCUAUGUCCAGUAACUGCAACGACAUGGCCUCUCUGUUUCAAGCCUUGGACCAUAUGAAGUUUAUCCAAAGUAGAAGCUCGUGCCAUGACACGGAUUGUGCCACAUUUCUCUUUUAUCUCUGUUUCUGCAUUACUUUGCAAGCUUUGACGGUCCACUAUUUCUUCUGUUGUCUCAUCUUGAGUUGGAUCAAUAAUACCACAUUCAAUGGCUAUGGCUCUAGCAGUGGUAAGAUCACUUCUUGUGACCAGUUUGAUAUCCACUUCUGCUUCCCGGCAGUCCAUCACAGCCUUUUGUACCUCUGGCCGACAUGGGUAUUUCAAGCCUAGGCACC
rnacentral:lncRNA from 1 species